rnacentral:rRNA from 1 species
UACGUAGGGGGCUAGCGUUAUCCGGAAUUACUGGGCGUAAAGGGUGCGUAGGUGGUUUCUUAAGUCAGAGGUGAAAGGCUACGGCUCAACCGUAGUAAGCCUUUGAAACUGAGAAACUUGAGUGCAGGAGAGGAACGCAGAAUUCCAGGUGUAGCGGUGAAAUGCGUAGAUAUCUGGAGGAACACCGGUGGCGAAGGCGGCAUCCUGGACCGAGAUUGACGCUGAGGCGCGAAAGCCAGGGGAGCAAACGGG